rnacentral:tRNA from 1 species
GUCCUCGUAGCUCAACGGUAGAGCAAGGAGCUUUUAACUCCGGGGUUACAGGUUCAAAUCCUGUCGGGGACACCA